CGAACUUCGACAGCAACGGACGCACCAACAUAUGGUGAUUUUCAGCUGGCCUAAGAUUCGGCGUGUAAGAUUUUUGGUUACCACAAUGACGCAGUCGUUUUAGGAAGGUAUAAUGAUUUUACCGGCAAUCACCAAGAAAUCACCUCGGAAACCACCUCUUUGAUUUUAUCACAUAUGCCGCAAGAUUCGAAACGUUGUUUCCAUCAACUAUUUGGUCGUGACAGCAGAGGACACGGCACACAUCUUGCAGGAUCAUUAAAGUCAUUCAUAAUCAAUAUGUCAUUACUAUGUUUGUUUUUC